rnacentral:rRNA from 1 species
GGAAUCUUGCGCAAUGGGCGAAAGCCUGACGCAGCAACGCCGCGUGCGGGAAGAAGGCUUUCGGGCUGUAAACCGCUUUCAGUAGGAACGAAACUGACGGUACCUACAGAAGAAGGAGCGGCCAACUAUGUGCCAGCAGCCGCGGUGACACAUAGGCUCCAAGCGUUGUCCGGAUUUAUUGGGCGUAAAGAGCUCGUAGGCGGUUGAGUAAGUCGGGUGUGAAAACUUUGGGCUUAACCCAAAGAUGCCACUCGAUACUGUUCAACUUGAGUUUGGUAGGGGAGUGGGGAAUUCCUUGUGUAGCGGUGAAAUGCGCAGAUAUAAGGAGGAACACCGGUGGCGAAGGCGCCACUCUGGGCCAAUACUGACGCUGAGGAGCGAAAGCGUGGGGAGCAAACAGGAUUAGAUACCCUGGUAGUCCACGCGGUAAACGGUGGUCACUAGGUGUGGGUCUCUUCAAACGAGAUCUGCGCCGUCGCUAACGCAUUAAGUGACCCGCCUGGGGAGUACGGUCGCAAGACUAAAACUCAAAUGAAUUGACGG